rnacentral:rRNA from 1 species
GAUGAACGCUAGCGGCAGGCCUAAUACAUGCAAGUCGAACGGGAUCUGAGGGUAGCUUGCUACCCGAUUUGAGAGUGGCGCACGGGUGCGUAACGCGUGAGCAACCUACCCAUAUCAGGGGGAUAGCCCGGAGAAAUUCGGAUUAAUACCGCAUAAGAAUGUAUUAACACAUGUUAAAGCAUUUAAAUAUUUAUAGGAUAUGGAUGGGCUCGCGUGACAUUAGCUAGUUGGUGAGGUAACGGCUCACCAAGGCGACGAUGUCUAGGGGCUCUGAGAGGAGAAUCCCCCACACUGGUACUGAGACACGGACCAGACUCCUACGGGAGGCAGCAGUAAGGAAUAUUGGUCAAUGGGCGAAAGCCUGAACCAGCCAUGCCGCGUGCAGGAUGACUGCCCUAUGGGUUGUAAACUGCUUUUGUCGAGGAAUAAACCUAUCUACGUGUAGCUAGUUGAACGUACUCGAAGAAUAAGGAUCGGCUAACUCCGUGCCAGCCGCCGCAGUAA